CUUUGGCAGAGGAUGAAUAGGAAGGAAGGUCACAGGACAAAGUGGUGUCGGAGCUGGCUUUGCCCCACAGUCCUGCCCCAGGGCGGGCGGGAAACGGGAGGGAAGUGGAGGCAGCUCAGGGAGAGAGACUGGGGAGAGAGGAGAAGAGUGGGCGGAGUGGGUCACUGGCCCCACGUUUCCAGGAGAGAAGGGGACAGGAUUAUGUGUCCGUCGGGACACUAUGCAAAGUCUCUGGCUUAAAUCUGAGCGUCUGCAGCUCCUAGAGAGGUGGCGGGUGGGGAGACCCAGAGGAGAGCAGGUCCAGGGUCACAGGUGAGCCCCGGGCCGGCACUCCCUCUGGUACCUGGAGUCCUCCCUGAUCCACCUCAACGACUGGCGUCCUGGAGUCGUCGGCGUCGCCUCCUGCGAGCGCAAGGAUCAGAGCGUGAAGCCGCGGGCAGGCGGUGCAGGGUGGGACGGGACUGUGGGCGCCAGGCCCACAGGGAAUGGAUUACAAAGGGACCUGAGGAUCGGGGCAGGUACAGCCACCAGGGCCAGGCCGGUGAGUGACGUCAGACUGCGGGGACAGAUGCUGCGCGGCUGCGCGGUGGCGCCUGCCGGCAGCUUCCUCGGGGGACACUUUCAGUCCGCCCACGACGGCGAGGAUUUCAUGUCCCUGAACCGGGACCCACAGACCUGGGCAGCGGCGCAAACCGCGGCUUGGAGGAUCCCGCGCCUGGAGAGGUUCGGAAUCUCGAGGCUACCAGGGAACACGGAUGGGUCACUGUGCUAAGUCGCUGCUCAGACACCUGGAGCAAGGCAAGGACACGCCACUGCGGCCAGACUCUGGCAAGGAGGCUGAUAUCCAGGACUGUCGUUUAGUCUCUCCACCCGCGAGAACCCUGCUGUCUACGGCUCAAUGCACCUCGACCCCCGACUCCCCUCAGACCAGCCAUCAGCACAGAACCACCUUCCCAGCUCAUCUGAACCAUCGUGGGAACCCUGCUGGCUUCGCGCUACCUGCUGCUCUGGUCCUUGGAGCUGUGACGUUCCAGAAGAAAUUCUCAGCUGUGGAAGGGGCUGGACAUGUGGCUUUGCUGCAUCUGACCUUGAGGGAUCCCACUGAGAGUAGAUGACUUGCACGUCACUUCUCCCCGUUCCUGGUGGGGCUGAGGACAAGCCACAGACCCUGAGAGGGGACCAGGCAGACAGGCAGACUGGCACAGAGCUCACUGCCUGGCCAAGUGGCCACUUGCCCCGGGUCAGGAGAGGUUCAGGGUGAGCGAGGAGGCUGCUGGGAACCCGAAGCCUGGCAGCCAGGAAAGCCGAGAUCGUGCAGCUGACAGCAGGGGCCGGAGGCUGCAGACCCGGUGGGUCAGCAGUGCUGUCCCCACCGAGCCCCAGGGGCCGGGGGAAGGUCCUUCUCACCAGAGAGCUUCAGCCCUGUGGCCAUCUCUGGACUCUAUGCCCCGACCCUCCAUGAGGACUCCAGACAGUGGAGGUGAAGGUGCCCAUGACACCCGGAAUCUGGGUCUCACAUCAUCUGAUUGCAUUUAUUAAAAAUGUCAGCCCUUUAGGUUUGAUUAAAAUAUAUAUAUAUAUAUAAAGUUUUCUGACUUUAGUUUACUUAUUAUUUCAGAAUCUUCUCAUCCUUUGACUUUACACAAUUUCCAAGCCUGAAA